GAGGACUUACUCUUCGGAGUGAGAGCGUACACAGGUGCUGCAUGGCUGUCGUCAGCUCGUGUCGUGAGAUGUGGGUUAAGCCCCGCAACGAGCGCAACCCUGCAUUCAGUUGCCAUCGGUAAGGCCGGGCACUCUGGAUGGACUGCCGGCGACAAGCCGGAGGAAGGUGGGGACGACGUCAAGUCAUCAUGGCCCUUAUGUCCAGGGCGACACACGUGCUACAAUGGCCGGCACAACGGGAAGCGAAGGGGCGACCCUGAGCGGAUCCCACAAAAGCCGGUCCCAGUUCGGAUUGCAGUCUGCAACUCGACUGCAUGAAGUUGGAAUCGCUAGUAAUCGUGGAUCAGCCAAGCCGCGGUGAAUACGUUCCCGGGCCUU
rnacentral:rRNA from 1 species